rnacentral:rRNA from 1 species
UGGGGAAUUUUGGACAAUGGGCGCAAGCCUGAUCCAGCAAUGCCGCGUGAGUGAAGAAGGCCUUCGGGUUGUAAAGCUCUUUUGUCAGGGAAGAAACGGUGUGUUCUAAUACAGUGGGCUAAUGACGGUACCUGAAGAAUAAGCACCGGCUAACUACGUGCCAGCAGCCGCGGUAAUACGUAGGGUGCAAGCGUUAAUCGGAAUUACUGGGCGUAAAGCGUGCGCAGGCGGUUUUGUAAGUCUGUCGUGAAAUCCCCGGGCUCAACCUGGGAAUUGCGAUGGAGACUGCAAGGCUAGAAUCUGGCAGAGGGGGGUAGAAUUCCACGUGUAGCAGUGAAAUGCGUAGAGAUGUGGAGGAACACCGAUGGCGAAGGCAGCCCCCUGGGUCAAGAUUGACGCUCAUGCACGAAAGCGUGGGGAGCAAACAGGAUUAGAUACCCCCGUAGUCC